UACGGAGGGGGCUAGCGUUGUUCGGAACUACUGGGCGUAAAGCGCGCGUAGGCGGCUUAGCAAGUUAGAGGUGAAAGCCCGGGGCUCAACCCCGGAAUUGCCUUUAAGACUGCAUCGCUUGAAUCCGGGAGAGGUGAGUGGAAUUCCGAGUGUAGAGGUGAAAUUCGUAGAUAUUCGGAAGAACACCAGUGGCGAAGGCGGUCUGCUGGGCCGUUGCUGACGCUGAGGCGCGACAGCGUGGGGAGCAAACAGG
rnacentral:rRNA from 1 species